GACUCAAAAGCGUUUUUGACAAAAAGUGUUGUAAAUUCGAAAAACACUAUAUUAGAAAUCAUUGUAUUAGAAACCAAGAAGCAUUGUAACCUCCUUCUCUUUCUGUCAAAAACCUCUUCCUCUAAGAAACCAAAACUCAUCAUAAUAACCUAACCCUUAUUUUGUUCAGCUUGAAUCUUCUUCCACUUCCUCACAAAAACCAAAAAAAGUUGUAAACUCCUUGAUGCAGAAUCUUCUUCUUCCUCAAAACAUCUUGUUGAAAUCAAAUUUUUGCUCAACUUGCACAAACCUUUGUUGCUGCAAAAACGUCGUCUCUGCAAAAUCACUGUCUUUGCAAAAUUGUUGUCUCUGCAAAACCUCUAAAUCAUCGUCUCUACAAAACCUCUGAAUUGCCACCUCUCGCUAAACCCAAAAUACUUCGUCUCUUGUUGAGCCUCCUUCUCUCACUGCAAUUGCAUACACAUAAAGCUCUCUUGCUAAAACCCAGAACCCUUUCUCGAUAAAACGUGAGACCCUUAUUCACUUCAACAACCCUCAUGCUAGAAACCCACAACCGCUGCAGUUGAAACACACUACUUAUUUCUCACUAUUAUUCCCAACAAAUAAUUUCUCAUGCAUGGCCAUGCUUGGUCUCUAUACAUCUAGAGGUUUGUUAAUAUUUUUCCCCUAUACUAUUGGAAUUACCUUAUACAUGGUUAUAAAACAUUAUACAUAAUCAUAUAAGUUAUGCAUAAAAGUUGUCUUUUUUUUUUUAUAUAUCAAGAAUAUGCUGCCUUAGUGAGUCUACCUAAAAGGUUGAAACCAAGCAAUAUUUGUGGCUUGUUGCUGUCAUCUUCUACCCUUGAGAAGUUUUUAUAGAAUAUACGUUUUUCUAUUUGGGUGGGGGAUCAAAGAUGGGUGUUGUCCGUGAUUAAUGGCUAUUCAAUUUUUUUAAUUUGUUUUUAUAAAGCAAAUAUUAUAUUUAGAUUAUGCAUAUGUGGGUCAUGGUUCCUUCAUUAUUCCAUUCUGAAGGAGAGAGAAUGGUCAUGGAGAGUGGACUCUUACUGUUAUUUGCAACUGCACUAAACAUGGAUGCCUUUUUUAUAUUAAGAAAGUCAAAGAAUAUUACAACAAUACAACCAGAAUACAACUAUAAUUCAAUAGUGGAAGUAUUUUGUUCUAUAGCUAUAUCAUACUAUCCCUUAGUUUUUA